rnacentral:rRNA from 1 species
GAUGAACGCUGGCGGCGUGCCUAAUACAUGCAAGUCGAGCGAAUGGAUUAAGAGCUUGCUCUUAUGAAGUUAGCGGCGGACGGGUGAGUAACACGUGGGUAACCUGCCCAUAAGACUGGGAUAACUCCGGGAAACCGGGGCUAAUACCGGAUAACAUUUUGAACCGCAUGGUUCGAAAUUGAAAGGCGGCUUCGGCUGUCACUUAUGGAUGGACCCGCGUCCCAUUAGCUAGUUGGUGAGGUAACGGCUCACCAAGGCAACGAUGCGUAGCCGACCUGAGAGGGUGAUCGGCCACACUGGGACUGAGACACGGCCCAGACUCCUACGGGAGGCAGCAGUAGGGAAUCUUCCGCAAUGGACGAAAGUCUGACGGAGCAACACCGCGUGAGUGAUGAAGGCUUUCGGGUCGUAAAACUCUGUUGUUAGGGAAGAACAAGUGCUAGUUGAAUAAGCUGGCACCUUGACGGUACCUAACCAGAAAGCCACGGCUAACUACGUGCCAGCCGCCGCCGUAA